GACGAACGCUGGCGGCGUGCCUAAUACAUGCAAGUCGAGCGAAGUUUUUCUGGUGCUUGCACUAGAAAAACUUAGCGGCGAACGGGUGAGUAACACGUAAAGAACCUGCCUCAUAGACUGGGACAACUAUUGGAAACGAUAGCUAAUACCGGAUAACAGUAUUUCUCGCAUGGGAGAUAUUUAAAAGUUGGUUAUGCUAACACUAUGAGAUGGCUUUGCGGUGCAUUAGCUAGUUGGUGGGGUAAAGGCCUACCAAGGCGACGAUGCAUAGCCGACCUGAGAGGGUGAUCGGCCACACUGGGACUGAGACACGGCCCAGACUCCUACGGGAGGCAGCAGUAGGGAAUCUUCCGCAAUGGGCGAAAGCCUGACGGAGCAACGCCGCGUGAGUGAAGAAGGAUUUCGGUUCGUAAAGCUCUGUUGUUAGGGAAGAAUGGAUAUGUAGUAACU
rnacentral:rRNA from 1 species